rnacentral:rRNA from 1 species
AUGAGUGAAUCCCUAGUUGACUAUGGAGAACAGAAGCCAUGUGCUGUAACUAGAACUACAGCAAAAACACUUGCAGAGUUCCUGGGAGUUUCAAUGGUUAAAGACAAAGGAAUGCACUGCCAAUAUAUAGUUGCUCGAGAGUCACAAGCCCCUCUAGUGAGCGAGUGUGCUGUUCCGGUGGCUGUUUUUGAGACAGAUGCUGAAAUUGCUAAGUUCAUUUACGAAAAUGGCGCAAAGUCUCCACGGAAGCAAACAUCUGAUUUACUCUUGAUUGGUCUCACUACAAGCAGCACCUAA